rnacentral:tRNA from 2 species
GCCGCUAUAGCUCAGAGGUAGAGCACAUCAUUGGUAAUGAUGAGGUCGUAGGUUCAAUUCCUACUAGCGGCACCA